rnacentral:rRNA from 1 species
GGUCCCUACGGGGCGCAGCAGUGGGGAAUAUUGGGCAAUGGGCGCAAGCCUGACCCAGCAACGCCGCGUGAAGGAAGAAGGCUUUCGGGUUGUAAACUUCUUUUGUCAGGGACGAAGCAAGUGACGGUACCUGACGAAUAAGCCACGGCUAACUACGUGCCAGCAGCCGCGGUAAUACGUAGGUGGCAAGCGUUAUCCGGAUUUAUUGGGUUUAAAGGGUGCGUAGGCGGGAUGCCAAGUCAGCGGUAAAAAUGCGGUGCUCAACGCCGUCGAGCCGUUGAAACUGGCGUUCUUGAGUGGGCGAG